rnacentral:misc_RNA from 1 species
AACGCACGAGACCUGCGGACCUGCGGAGGGAUCAUUACAGAGUUGCAAAACUCCCAAACCAUUGUGAACGUUACCUUCUCGUUGCUUCGGCGGGCGGCCCGGGUCCUUCCCGGCGCCCCCCGGCCCCUCGCGGGCGCCCGCCGGAGGUAAACCAAACUCUUGAAUUGUAUGGCCUCUCUGAGUCUUCUGUACUGAAUAAGUCAAAACUUUCAGCAACGGAUCUCUAGAUCGGAAGAGCAC